rnacentral:rRNA from 1 species
UACGUAGGGUGCGAGCGUUAAUCGAAAUUACUGGGCGUAAAGCGUGCGCAGGCGGUUUUUUAAGACAGGCGUGAAAUCCCCGGGCUUAACCUGGGAACUGCGCUUGUGACUGGAAGGCUAGAGUACGGCAGAGGGGGGUGGAAUUCCACGUGUAGCAGUGAAAUGCGUAGAGAUGUGGAGGAACACCGGUGGCGAAGGCGGCAUCCUGGACCAACACUGACGCUGAGGAGCGAAAGCCAGGGGAGCAAACGGG